rnacentral:rRNA from 1 species
GAUGAACGCUAGCUACAGGCUUAACACAUGCAAGUCGAGGGGCAGCAUUAUCGAAGCUUGCUUUGAUAGAUGGCGACCGGCGCACGGGUGAGUAACGCGUAUCCAACCUUCCCCAUAGUCAGGAAUAGCCCGGCGAAAGUCGAAUUAAUGCCUGAUGUUUUCCACGGACGGCAUCUGAUGUGGAACAAAGAUUGAUCGCUAUGGGAUGGGGAUGCGUCUGAUUAGCUUGUUGGCGGGGUAACGGCCCACCAAGGCAACGAUCAGUAGGGGUUCUGAGAGGAAGGUCCCCCACAUUGGAACUGAGACACGGUCCAAACUCCUACGGGAGGCAGCAGUGAGGAAUAUUGGUCAAUGGGCGGAAGCCUGAACCAGCCAAGUAGCGUGAGGGAUGACUGCCCUAUGGGUUGUAAACCUCUUUUAUAAGGGAAUAAAAUACGGGACGUGUCCUGUUUUGCAUGUACCUUAUGAAUAAGGACCGGCUAAUUCCGUGCCAGCAGCCG